CUUUGUAGACCUUGCUAAGGAUAUCUGAUCUUUUUCUCAGGGAAAGAACCAGGAGGAUCCUGGACUGGUUUGAGGUCCUCCAGUGGUGCUAACCUCUGGAGGGAGUCCCAGAAUUGUCCAGCACCUUCUGGAGUCUCCUGGGAGGCAGAGUGAAGCACAGCCUGGGGUCUCACUUAUGAAAUAUUUACCAGUUGCCUUGGAGUUGUUUCUGCCUUAUGGUGACCUAUAUGUUUCAGAGCGCUCCAUAGGAUCUUCAAGGGCUGAUUUUUUUUGGAAGUAGAUCCCCAGGACUUUCUUCUGAGGUACGUCUGGGUAGAGAUGAACCUCCAACCUUUUGGUUAACAAGGUCGCCAUGAGUUGUAGUCUACUCGAUGGUAACUAACAACGACAACAAGAAACUACAAGCCACGAUUAAUGUUUUCAAGGAGGUCCCAGUUCAGACAUGGAGCCAAUUGUAUCGAAAGAUGUUUGGAAUAUAAGCUGGAAAAUACAGAUGGAAAAAAGUGAAGGAAUAAUUUCUGCAGAUGCUCUGAACUGUGUUUUUCCAGUAUAGCUUCACUCCGUAGGAUUUGUAUGUCCUUGGUCGCGAGGCAUGAAGUUGUUCGAGAACAGAGGUGGGAAAGGUCUGAUGCUGUCACUCACGAGCCUCACGUCCAUGGGCAAAAUCAUCUCUUAACGGGGAGGCCUCAGUGGAUCUACACACAAUGGUAGUCAGAUCCUUGAUGGCACAUGCCAACUUGGGCCCAAAUGGCUCGGGUGAAUCUACUUAAUGAUACCUGAAAGAGUUCUUUUGAUUCAUGACUUUAUAAAACUAAUUACAAGUAUUUGCAUGUGAAUUACUAAACCCAUUCUACAAUUAACUGUAUAAUUUCUAAUUUGCCUCUCUGCAUCUCAGUCCAGCAUUUAUUUCUGCCAAUGCAUUAAUCAAGGUGAUAAUAAUUCCAUUUACCUGUUAGUUUAUUAGAUGUCUUAUUUUCUUUUAGAAAAUUUGAAUAAGGAACAUGGUGCUAAUCAAACCUAAGUAAGGUGGAGAUAUGAACAGAAGGAAACUGACAAUAUAAAAUGAGGGUGUCAUAUAUAUUCCACAGGUAAAAUCUACAGUGUGUCCACAGAAUCCAUAAAUAACUUUUUUUUUUUUUUUAAUAUCUGUGGUCAGUGAACUGAAGGGCAAACCAUCCUGACUGGACUCAGCUAGUUUCUAGCUAAUCAGCUUACCCUCCGAAAAUGCAAAAUAAUGUCUUGAGAUUGUUAGCUGUUUUUUUGUCCAACCCCUCUCCUUCCAUCUCUUGUAAACCUUGUUUUGCCUUUGGUUGUUGACAAGAGUCUAGUCGUUGGAUCUCUUCUACAUGAGCACAGGACUUGCACCCUGAAGAUAACUCAGUGUCCCAGAGAUGUUGUUGGCCUCCCUCUCUUCCUUCUCUCUCAUGCUCACUCUCACUCUAGAGCUCUUGGCUUUCUUCCCCACUAGAACGUGGCCCUAUGAAAAGAGGAAAGGUACUUGUCUUUGUCACCAUUGUAUCUCUAGUUUCUAGCUUAGGAACUGCCAAGUAAGAGGCAUGGAUAGAUACAUGUUAUAUGUGUGAAAUAUGUGUGUUAACUAUUUUAUAACCAUUAUAUGUGCAUGUUUUUAUAAACACACAUAUGGCAUCUGCUGAUAUUUAUCCUUUUUUUUCUGUAAUAAUGGAACCACACUUUUGCAGGGAAAUCCAAUCCACAGGAUUAAGUAAGACUGACUCCAUUCCUAUUCCCUGCACACAGGCCUGGGCACUUGAUACCAAACCUAGGCACUCAGAGUGCCCCAUAAGCCUGGCCAUAGCAAUUGGUUCUGGAAGAGCUGUGUGCUCAUUGAGUCCCACUUGGGACAUUUGCCCAAGUCAUUGUUGAAAUGUGCCUUUUCUCUGAAUGGAGCAUGUGUUAAACAGGGAGGUCUAUCUGCUGUAAUGAACACCGUCGAACUCUCAAUGGUUUUUCAUGAAGUUUAUUCUUCACUCGCAUCACAGCCCACGCGGUUUUGAUGGCAGGCUGAGUGUUGCUCCAUGCAGUCCUUCAGAAUCUUAACUUGUUCCAUCCUGUGACCCUGUCCCAUCCUCAGCCAGCUGCGUUUGAAGCUGACAUAGAAAGACAAAAGGGAUGAUCUCACUGGAUUUCAGUGGUUUUAGUGGUUUAGUUUUAAGUCAUGGUAUUUCAGUUGCCUCAUAUGUAUCUGAAACCUGGACAAUGAAUAAGGAAGACAGAAGAAGAAUGGAUGCCUUUGACUUAUGGUGUUGGCAAAGAAUGUUGAAUAUACCGUGGACUGCCAGAAGAAUGAACGAGUCUGUCUUGGAAGAAGUACAGCCAGAGUACUUCUUAGAAGGAGGAAAGAUGGUGAGACUUCUUCUCGUGUAGUUUGGACAUGUUAUCAGGAGGGGCCAGUCCCUGGAGAAAGACGUCAUACUUUGUAAAGUAGACGGUAGGUGUAAAAGAGUGUUAUCUGACCUUACUAAUGCCCUUAGUAAUGCCAGUAAAUUUUCAUUAAUCCUUAAACUAGCCCAAAUCAGACUUGGCCUGCCCCUCAUGUGCAGAAGGGCCAGCUGAGACAGCUAAUUGACCUCAACAGAGGACACAGCAACAGGAGGAACGAAUCAGAAGGAAAAUCAUCACCCAGACCCUAUUUUGAAGCAAGAAGUCCUACAAGAAUCAUGUCACCUCCUAUUUCCUGACCACCUUCUGGAAUUUUCCCUCCCCAGAACUCCUGCACGGCUGCCAUCUACCUGCCCAAAUCACAUGUAAGCCCUGCUUCCCUGUAGCUCAGGGAGCCAGAUCUGAGGAACUUCCUCCAGGCUCCUUGCUCUGCACAUUGCAAUAAAGUUACUUUCUCAAAGACCAGUAUCCAGAUAAUUGGCAAGUCUGAGCGCACUGGACAAGGACCCAUUUUUCAGGUUGGAUAACAAGCGGAAGACCCUUGAAGAAAUGGAUUGACACAGUGGCUGCAACAAUGGGCUCAAAUGUAGCAACGAUAGUGAGGAUGGCACAGGACUGGGCAGUGUUUCCUUCUGUUGUACAUAGGGUCAUGAGUCGGAAGUGACUCAAAGGCACCUAACAACAACAACAAAAAAACAGAACCAAAUCCAUUGCCUUUGAGUCAAUUCUGCCUCAUAGUGAAACUAACAACAACAACACUUUAAUUAGGGAUUCUGUCACCUAAAACAAGAGAAUCAGGAUCAACAUACCCAUUUUUUGCUUACCUUGUCUAGCCUCUAGCCUAGUACCUUUCAUAUGAUAAAACAAAAACCAAACAAGUUGCCAUCAAGUCAAUCCUGACUCAUGGUGACCCCAUGUGUGUCAGAGUAGUAGACAACCUAACGUUUUUAACCAAAGAUCUGAAGAAUGAGUGACUGUAUACUCAAUAUUACUAUGUUGGGCUACACUAAUGUAGAGCUAUUGGUCUGAUGUUAAUUACCAAACUUAUCUCAUGAAUUAUUCCUGAAAAUUGUAGCUCUAAGUAGCUAAUAGGGGUUUGACACUUAUUAUUCUAUUACUGUAUUUUCUGUUUUUCUGUCCUCUAUCAGCUAUGCAUGUCUCAUGCUGCUCUGUAUCAAAAUUGCCAACACCUUUUUUUUUUGGUUGACACAAUAAUUGCAGAAUUUUAACAUUUACGAUUAUUGUAUUUCUGUUAUUCUAAGUCAGUUUAAUCUUAUUAAAUACUGUAAUUGUCUGUGAAAUCCUGGACUUGAGGACAUCUAAUACCCCUCCAGUGUACUCUGCAAAAAUGCUUGCCUCCCCAGCCUCAUCUUUCUGCCUGCGCCUCAGGGUGGAAAGGGAAUGAUCUCUUUGAAUUUUAGUGGUUAGAACAAACCACCAGGCUGAACGUUAAAAUUAUGAAAAAUGUCUGCCUUGAGUGUGAUGCUCUUUUAAGUACUAUUUAGAUGGGAUCAAACUGACAGGAGCAACUGGAAAGAUUAGAUAGGAACCUUAUGGGGCUGUGAAUUUAUGUUAAUGGGGGAGGAACAACUCAGAAAAGGAGGGUGAGAAUGGUUGGACAACGUGAAGACUAUGAUUAAUGUCACUGAAUUGCACAUGUAGAAACUUUUCAGUUGAUGUAUGUUUUGUUGUAUAUAUUCUCAACAACAACAACAAAAUAAAAUAAAAUUCUUCUAUCGAACCAUGGGCCUGGGGAAAAUCUUAUUUUGUGUGACUUUUCUGUGUAGCUCAACUGUAUAUUCUGACUCCUCCAAUAAUAACAACCAUAGGAUGAUGUUUGGUUAAAAGCACAGGCUUUUAAUGUCCAAAUUUAUAUCCCAGCCUAGGUACUGUCAGCGAUACUGAGAAAUUUAUUUAAACUUUUUGGGGAGAGGGUCAUCAGCUACAAAAGAGUGAUAAUGGUAGCACAUACCUCAUAGGGUUGUUAUGAAGAUUAGGAGAUCACAUAUGGAAGCAAUGCUCAGGACAGUGGCUGGUACCAAUGAAUCAUAAAAUUACUGUUAUUUAUUUAUUUCUUAUUACAACAGCUGAGGGUUUAGCUUUAAGUCUUUCAUGUCCUUUACAUCUUGGUUCAAAGAGUAUAUCUCUUUACCUUGUCCUGAUAGGAGGUGUCUUAGUCAUCUAGUGCUGCUAUAACAAAUACCACAACUGGAUGGCUUUAACAAAAAGAAAUUUAUUCUCUCACAACUAGGAGGUUAGAAGUCCAAGUUUAGAGUGCCAGCUCCAGGGGAAAGCUUUCUCUGUCUCUGUCAACUCUGGGGGAAGGUCCUUGUCAUCAAUCUUCCUCUGGUCUAGGAACUUCUCAACCAACACAGGGAGCCUGGGUCCAAAGGACAAGCUCCACUCCUGCCUUUUCUUGCUUGGUGGUAGAAGAUCCCUCCCCUCUCUGCUAGCUUCUGGCUUUUAUAUCUCACAAGACAUUGACUCAUUCAACCUAAUCCUGUAGAUUGAAUCCUGCCUCAUUAACAUAACUGCCUCUAAUCCUGCCUCAUUAACAUCAUAGAGGUCAGAGUUUACAAUGCGUGGGAAAAUUAUAUCAGAUCACAGAAUGGAGGAUGACCACAGAAUACUGGGAAUCAUGGCCCAGCCAAGUUGACAUACAUUUUCUGGGGGGCACAAAUCAACCCAAAGCAGGAGGUUUCGGAAGAGAAUCACUAAUAUUGUGAAGAAUGAUGAUAUUAAGAUGUUCUGCAUGUUAAGGUUGGAGAAAAUUCUGGUGGGAAGAAGAAACUCCCAACGGGUUUAGAGAGAGAUGCAUCUUCUAAUGGUUAUCACCUCUCAUGUCUAUGUGAAGUAUAAAGAGGAAGUUUUUGAAUUAAUCUCUCCCAUUCAUGUCCUCUUGUGUUGACAGUCUCUGAUCAUCCCUGUGCGGUGCAAAUGGUUUAGUGCUCGACUACUAGCCAAAAGUCUGGGAGUGUGAACCCACCCAGAGGUGCCUCAGAAGAUAGGCCUGACCAUCUACUAUUAUAAGGUCACAGAUACUGAAAAUCUGUGGAGCACAGUUCUACGGUGCACACAUGAGCUAGCUAUGAAUCAGAAUCCGCUCGGUGGCAACUAACGAACAUUAAAAUCAUUCACGUCCUUGUGU